AUGGGGGAGCAGGGCACCAGCGGCAGCGAGGGCGGCGGCAAGGUGGCGGAGGCGCAGGCGCCGGCCAAGAAGGGCGCCGCCGACCCGCGGCUCCAGGGCAUUUCCGACGCCAUCCGCGUCGUCCCGCACUUCCCCAAGCCAGGGAUCAUGUUCAACGACAUCACGGCGCUGCUGCUGCGGCCGGGCGUGUUCAAGGACGCCGUGGACUUGUUCGUGGAGCGCUACCGCGGCAUGGGCAUCGCGGCCGUCGCAGGCAUUGAAGCAAGAGGAUUCAUAUUUGGCCCCGCGAUCGCGUUGGCCAUCGGGGCCAAAUUCAUACCGCUGCGCAAACCCGGCAAACUCCCAGGUGCGGUGAUUUCCGAGAAUUAUACGCUCGAGUAUGGGACGGAUUGCUUGGAGAUGCAUGUUGGAGCCGUCGAGCCCGGCGACCGUGUGGUGGUCGUGGAUGAUCUGGUUGCAACCGGCGGGACACUUUCUGCAGCCAUAAAACUUCUUGAACGCGCUGCAGCUGACGUUGUUGAGUGUGCAUGCCUCAUCGGACUCCCUAAGUUUAAGGAUUUCUACAAGCUCGAUGGAAAGCCAGUUUACAUACUGGUGGAGUCCAAAAAGUGA
rnacentral:rRNA from 1 species